GACCGUACCGCAAACCGACACUGGUGCGCGAGAUGAGUAUUCUAAGGCGCUUGAGAGAACUCUGGAGAAGGAACUCGGCAAAUUGACACCGUAACUUCGGAAGAAGGUGUGCCUUUAGUAGGUGAAGCCCCCGCGGGUGGAGCCCAAUGAGGUCGCAGAGAAUCGGUGGCUGCAACUGUUUAAUAAAAACACAGCACUCUGCAAAGACGAAAGUCGACGUAUAGGGUGUGACGCCUGCCCGGUGCUGGAAGAUUAAUUGAUGGGGUGCAAGCUCUUGAUCGAAGUCCCAGUAAACGGCGGCCGUAACUAUAACGGUCCUAAGGUAGCGAAAUUCCUUGUCGGGUAAGUUCCGACCUGCACGAAUGGCGUAAUGAUGGCCACACUGUCUCCUCCAGAGACUCAGCGAAGUUGAAAUGUUUGUGAUGAUGCAAUCUCCCCGCGGAAAGACGGAAAGACCCCAUGAACCUUUACUGUAGCUUUACAUUGGACUUUGAACAGAUCUGUGUAGGAUAGGUGGGAGGCUUUGAAGCCAGGACGCUAGUUCUGGUGGAGCCGACGUUGAAAUACCACCCUGGUGUGUUUGAGGUUCUAACCUUGGCCCGUUAUCCGGGUUGGGGACAGUGUAUGGUGGGCAGUUUGACUGGGGCGGUCUCCUCCCAAAGUGUAACGGAGGAGUUCGAAGGUACGCUAGAUACGGUCGGAAAUCGUGUUGAUAGUGCAUUGGCAUAAGCGUGCUUGACUGCGAGACUGACAAGUCGAGCAGGUACGAAAGUAGGACA
rnacentral:rRNA from 1 species